CAGCAGCCGCGGUAAUACCGAGGGUGCGAGCGUUAAUCGGAUUUACUGGGCGUAAAGCGUGCGUAGGCGGCUUUUUAAGUCGGAUGUGAAAUCCCUGAGCUUAACUUAGGAAUUGCAUUCGAUACUGGGAAGCUAGAGUAUGGGAGAGGAUGGUAGAAUUCAGGUGUAGCGGUGAAAUGCGUAGAGAUCUGGAGGAAUACCGAUGGCGAAGGCAGCCAUCUGGCCUAAUACUGACGCUGAGGUACGAAAGCAUGGGGAGCAAACAGGAUUAGAUACCCCUGUAGUCCCUGUCUCUUAUACC
rnacentral:rRNA from 1 species